UUAGAUACCCUAUUAUACUAAUAAUAACCUGGACUAUUGUUAGAUAUGUUCUUUAAAUUCGAAGAAUUUGGCGGUGGUUUAAUCUUGUUAGAGGAACCUGUUUUUGAAUCGAUACACCACGUAAAAUUUUACUCAUUUUAUAUAGCUUAUAUACCGUCAUUAACAGAUAAUUUUUAAAGGAAAUAAUUGUUGGAAUCCCUAGCUGAUCAAGAUGAAUUAAAUUAGAUCAAGGUGUAGUCUAUAAAUGAGUUAAAAUGGGUUACAAUAAAAUAUAUUUAAUACGGAUUGAUUAAAGCUUGAAAAAUAAUCAUGAAGGAGGAUUUAAUUGUAAAAUAAGUUUAAUAAGCUUGAAAGAUAUAAGCUCUAAACCAUGUACAUAUCGCCCGUCGCUA
rnacentral:rRNA from 1 species